UGCACGCCUCCUCCUCCCAUUCCUUCUCCCUUGUCCCAGCGGCCCUCAAUCUCCCACCACGACCGCUCGAGAACGACGGCGACGAGGAGGCCCGACCCUUGGCGCAGACCCGUGCCCCCGAGGGGCGGUGACGUCAGAUCUCUCCGUCUGGCGAGGCCAGCCAUCCCAUCCGUGCCGCGAUGUCCCCAGUAUGGAAGCCCGGGCUGGGGCAGCCAACGCGGCGUCUUGUGCGCCGGAGGGGGCUCUGGCGACCGCGCGGCGGGGGACUGCACGGCGUCUGGUCGUGGGUUCCGGCGACGGCAAGCCGUAGAUCUGAGCCGCCGUCUCCACUUCCUCCUUCCUCACUUGAAGAUGCUUUGGCAGGGAUCCUCCAUAUCAAGGGAAGAGCGGGGUAGUGUGGGCGAGGAAAGUCCUUGUGUACCAGGUUUCUGAAAGAAACAGAAAAGGAAACAAGAUGCAGUAAAAGAACAUUUUUCCAUAGCUUGUGAACAUUUUGGUCCUCUGAUUUUGAUUUUUCAUGAUUUGUAGUCCAUGCAUGCUUUUGAUAUUCAAUCACUUUAUUUGUUUACAUCCUACUAGAUUCUAAUUUCAGAAUUGGUAUUCUAUCUAGCUCUGAGACAUUGCCUUUAUUUUGUAUGAAGUUUACUAAUACAUUAAAUUGCAUGCAUGUUAGAUAUUCCAUGGGGGCUACUAUUUCUGAUUACAUACGAUUCCAUUUGGUUGCACUUUUAUUAUGUUUUUGUACAGAUCCUUUGAAGGUAGUGCUAUUGUUGAAUCUUGAUUCUUGAUGCUAUGGAUAUUGUCUGCUUUCAACCCCACCCUGUACUACUCACCAGGUAUGGAGGCUAUGUAAUAUUUAUCCUUUGUUGUCUUUCAAUACUUUCUUCUUUCUGAAAUUUAGCUGCAGACUUUAUGACUUGGCUGCAGUAUAUAUUGCCUCUGGGUUAUGGGACUUGUCGGCGCAACCUAUCAUCUGAUAAAAUAUAUCAACCUGGGGGAAUAUACUUGUGCUGGAUUGUUUGAGACAUCAGAUAAGCCCAUGCUGCUGUAAAUUUUGCUCAUCUAUUGACGAGGGUAGGAAAUAGUCAGGGGCCUCCUCAUCUUUCAUGUUAUAUCACUUCUUUACGCUUCCACGGCGUAACUCCUUAUUUGUUCGCCGACAGUGGACAUUAUUUUGUCUGAUCUCCUGUGUCGAAGUAUGGUGGUUUUACCUUUCUUGUUACAUGUGAUACAAUUACUUGAGAUGUCCACGGUUAAUUAUCUUAAUAAGAGACAGCAAACACAAAACACAUCCAGUGUGCCCAUUAACGCCAUCCAAAUAAUAAUAUGACUAAUCUGCACAUGUAGUUUCAAAAUGGGAACCACCCAGUAAAAGCUCCUAUCUCUGAACCUAACCAAUAGCGAGUCUUGGUUUGAUUGCCUUGUAGAAGAUGUUAUCCUCUCACUAGCAAAUCCUCGACCCAUCCGGUGGAUCGAAGGACACAAAGCGGAUCUUCGUGCUAAGCACAUCUAGGAAUCUGUAUGUUGGGCAGGUAAAGUUCAGGCUUCAUACUUUGCCUCAUAGUACCACAUGAAUGUGUCCUACGCGCAUACAAAUAUUUUGUGUUGGGAGCCCAAAAGAUAGCAGUAUCACAUGGAUAUGACGUCAUUAACUGGUACACCUAUUAGUGUCAAAUUUCACAAGGUCAAUAGAAUUCUUAACCCUUAACAGACAUUGUUCCAUGUUUGCAAAGAAACGUUGAACAACUUCGGAGAAAAGUUGGACCGCGAAAUCCAUGGUGUAUAACUGGUAUUUUUUGUCGAGAAUGUAUAACUAGUAUUUCCUUGCUAUAUGUAUUUCUAUCAUGAAAAGGGCUCUGUUGGAAACCGUAGAAUAAUACAUGCAUGCACAAAGAGUCAGUGUUGAAUCUUCAAUAUAUUGUAGGACUAAUGUAACUAGAUGACAUCAGUGUUAUCUGCCGGUGUGCUGCAAGGUUUAGAUGAGGUGGACUCUGAAUCUGUGUCACUGAGCUUGAGGAGAGUAAUGCACUGGUCUGGUCGUAGCCAUUGUAGCACCAGGUGGUAGGACCAAAACAUUUGCAUCUGCUGUUAUUGACAUGGUUGGAUCUUCAGGCUGGAAGCUUGCGUUAGUCGCAGCAAGGAUUACCAGCAGCAGCAACCAACCUGCAGAGAUGAAACUGUGAACAUUUUCACAACGGGGGAAUAGAAAAGAAUAUGGAUGUGCCAGAAGAAGGAAAAUGUACAAUGAACCCGGAUGUACCAUGUCGAGUGGAAUUCUCAAUUGACGAGACGCCAAUGUUCUGGUUUCGCACCCCCUCUGUGCGCGUGCUCCACUUUAUCCCCUGCAUUGCGCCUUCCGUCCCAGACACCCCCGGCUUCUACGGUGUCGACCGCUACUUUUCUGCCACGCCCACAUGUGGGUCAACGAUGGCACAUAUGUGCAACUGCUCGAGCAGGCGAUGAUGAAGGUGAGCGUCUGCUCGGUGGGGGCAGUGGAGAGCGAUGAUGGUGCCGGUGUGGACAUGAAGGCGGACGAAUCUAUUGCAAAGUUCUAUGCGUAGAGGACUGCACUAGCAAGUCUCGGGGCUGCAAUACAAUGACUUGAUGGGGAGGAGCAUCUGGUAGAUAUACAUAGUGUUAGAUUGCUUUUGGACAAGUCAUCGUAUGUAAUGCAUCUUCAAACCAGGUAUAUAACCUGCUGCUACUCCCCAAGUUUAAUAUACUUCCACCUCUA